UGCUUUGAAGUCUAUAUAGAUACAAUAUGAAAAUUUUAACUGCAAAUUUCAAAUAUAUAGAGAAAAAUGUUUAAAUUUAUUUGUGGGGACCUCCUCAAAAGAGUCGGUU
rnacentral:snRNA from 2 species